rnacentral:rRNA from 1 species
GACGUAGGGUGCAAGCGUUGUCCGGAUUUACUGGGCGUAAAGAGCGCGUAGGCGGUCUGUUAAGUGAGAAGUGAAAUCUCCAGGGCUCAACCCGGAAAUUGCUUUUCAUACUGGCAGACUUGAGGGAUGCAGAGGUAAGUAGAAUUCCUGGUGUACCGGUGAAAUGGGUUGAUAUCAGGAGGAAUACCCGUGGCGAAGGCGGCUUACUGGGCAUCAUCUGACGCUGAGGCGCGAAAGCGUGGGUAGCAAACAGG